UACUUAUCUUGUUUUGAUUUUGAAAGAAUAAAAACCUACCAAUCACUCUCUAACCUCUCUCAUCUUUGCUCUUCGCCGUCACCGCAACCACCGUUCCCUCAAAUCAAAAUACCAUGUCGGACGAAGAGCACCAUUUCGAAUCCAAGGCCGACGCCGGAGCCUCCAAAACCUACCCUCAACAAGCCGGUACCAUCCGUAAAAACGGUUACAUCGUCAUCAAAAACCGUCCUUGCAAGGUCCGUAUCCACAUUCUAAUUCCUUUUUUAAUUAGGUUUUUACUAAAUUAAUCAUUGAUUUGAUUUCAUGUAUUUGAUUAGAUCCAGUUUUUCUGCUUCACUGUUUUGGUUUCAUAUUUAAUUUAUUUUUUCUAUGUUGAAAUCUAUGUUUUUUUAUUGAUUUAAGUUCAAAAUUAAUCAUGAUUUUGAUUUGAUUUGUUCAAUUUUUGAGUAAAUUAAUCUAUGUUUCUGUUGCUUCACUGUUUUUGUUCAAUUUUUGAUGGAUUUGUGAGUUGAAUUUUCUGUUAUUGAUUUCCUUUUAUCAAUUAAUCAUCCGUUUGAUGGCUAUUUUUCUGAAAAUUAGUGUAUGUUUGGAAUUAGGGUUUUGGUGAAGGGAGUUUAAGAUGGCUAUGUCUAUAUUCUGUUAUAUAUUUGAGAUUUAAACAUUUCAAUCACAAUUAAUUUAUUUUUAGUAUAAUUUUAGAGUUUCUUUAAUUUAUCCUUAAUAUUGAAAAGAAAAAUAAGUCUUCCCCGUUUUCUUAAUAUUAGGUGAGUCUGCUUACUGAAAAUGGGAACACUAAGGAUGACCUCAAGCUUCCUACCGAUGACAGUCUACUCACUCAGGUUUGUACAGAUCUCAUGAUUCCUUGUUUGAAUUUACCAAUAUGGUGUUAUUUUUAUGUCUUUUGUAUCGUGUGUUUGAGUAAUAUGUGUUACUUGAUUGCAGAUUAAGGAUGGAUUUUUAUUUGUGUAACAAUACGGAAUUUAGAUAUGAUGUGAUUUUCUGUUGGGAUUGUGAGAAUUUGGAAUCUUUAAUGUUUCAGUGCUUAUUGCUUAUUCGUUUAACAGUAAGGAACUUAGAUAUGAUGUGAUUGUUUAUAGGAGUGUGAAAAUUUGUAGUUAUAAUGUUUAAGUGCACAAUCCUUUUACAGUAAGGAAUUAUAAUAGAAAAAAAAAAAAUUCUACCUGAAAGUUCAUGAUUUUUUCUAAAAAUAUAUGCCUGUGAAGAGUUUUUAUUUCCUUUCAUUUAACAUGUUUUUUUGUUGUACGACAGGGGAAGAAAAAGGAAGGAAAUGCUGCUAAAUUUGUCACUAGGAAUCAUGCUCUCAAGCAGCUUCAAAUCAGUCUACCCCUUUUCAGGUUCCAUAUGCUCAUAUAUAUAUAUAAACCAACAUUAAUGCUAUAUAUGAUAAUUUUCUUUUUCCCGAAAUGUCAUGAAGCACAUUCUGCUUUAAAGAAAAUUGCAAAAACUGUUCUACACCUGAAUUGGGCGAAAAACAUGGCAAUGAAAGUGAAAUAGCAAAUCAUAAUGAUUUGUGCUGUAAUUGUGAUGGUUACUUUCGUGACAUGAAUCAUUAUCCAUAAACCAAUUUAUGGGGCUUUUGUAGGAAAAGAAGGGUUUCUUUGGGUUAAAUUUCUCUUAGCUUGAUUACAUAUACAUAUUUUUUGUUAUCAUUAUUGAUCUAAUCUGUUAUCAUUUUGAAUAUGCAUAUAUUUAGCGUUACUCUUAAAUAUUUUGAAAAGUUAAUAUGGUUAAAUGUGAAGUUGAUUUUUUGUAAAUUUUAGGAAGCUGUGCAUUUUGAAAGGUGUAACUCCCCGGGAGCCUAAGAAAAAGUUAGGACGUCAGACUUGCUACCAUGUGAAGGAUAUAAGCUUUCUACAUCACGAGCCUUUGCUGGAAAUACAUAGAGCAAUAAGAGUACAUGAAAGAAAAAUUAAGAAAGCAGAGGCAAAGAAAAACAUUGAACGUGCAAAGAGGUUACGUGAUAAAACACCCAAACCCAAGUUAGAUAGGAUUAUUCGACAAAGGUUUGUUUGUUUUGGUUUUUUCCUUUCUAAAUUUCAAUUUAUGUCCUGUAGCCGGCGACAUAUUUCCAAUCUUUUUCUUCUCAUUCUUUGAAUUAUAGGUACCCAAGAUUUGGGGAUGCACUUGGAGAAUUGGAUGGCUGCCUUACAAUGGUACAUCUUUUUGCAGCAUUACCUGCGACUGAGAGCAAAAAAAUUGAUGUGGAGCGUGUCCAUAAAUGUCGAAGGUAUGUACAUGGAAUUAUAAUAACUUUAAAUUGAUUUGUCAUAAAGAAUUUAGGCCUUUGUGCCUAAAUCUUUACUUUGAAAAUAACAACUAGGGGAUUAGAUUUUUAUAUUAAAAUCUUGUCAUUUACAUUAAUUUUCUUUUACCUUAUGCUGUAAUAAUAUUUAUAUUCUUUUGUUUAUUGCAUGCACGUAUUCAUGCUGUAAUAAUUUUUAUAUUUAUCUUCUUUUGUUUAUUGCAUGCCCGUAUUCUAGAUUGGCGCAUGAAUGGCAAGCAUACAUAUCUCGUACUCACAGGUUAAGAAAAACAUUUGUAUCUGUUAAAGGCAUAUACUACCAGGUACUGAUUGUGGCAUUUGUUAUGUUAAUCAAUCAUAAUUGUACAUUUUAUUGAUUUAUUAUGUUGUUUGUGCAGGCUGAAGUCGAGGGUCAGACAAUAACAUGGUUAACUCCUCAUUCACUGCAGCAGGUUGUGUCUGAUGAUGUUGACAUCCCCACCAUGCUUAACUUUCUGCAAUUAUAUGAGGUCAGUUUAGUUUUAUGUUUGUAUUAAGUGUCUUCAUUUUUUGAUAAAUAAUCAAUGUCCAUAUCAUCCGAAGUAAUAGGAUAAUAGAUCUAAAUAUUUUAAUCAUGUAAACAUUUAAUUUGAAUAUGUUCUGCUGUGUUACGAUUAUCAUGUGGUUCAUGUAUAAAACAAAUUUAGUUAGUCAACUUAAGUUCAUGUACUAAUUGGUAUGGUAAACUUCUACUUUCUAAUGAAUUGCUGCAGCCUCUUCUUGCUCGAUCCUCGCUUGGAGGCGUUGGCAGCAGGUACCAUUUUCUCAACUUUUAUGGAAUUUGGUGAACUUGAAUUGCUGCAGAGAUUUGAUGUAUCUGCCGAUCAAUUUUCUUUUUAAACUUUGUAGAUCUAUAUGCAUUGUCAAGAUAUGCCAAUGCCGACAACAGACCCGCAAUACUGAGUUCUGAAGCUUCUCAAUUAGUUGAAUCUGAACAAGGGGGGAACAAGAAAACUGAGGCAGAGACUGAAAAUGAAAAAUCUGAACUUAGACUUGCUCAACUUCAGAAUCAACUUCCGUCUAAUGAACCCGGUGCACUAAUGCACCUUGUUGAGAAAGCUGCAGGUGAUGAUGAAGAGGAAUAUGAUCAAGAGACACGAGAAUGCAAAAAUCUCUUUCGAAAUGUCAAAAUUUUCUUGAGCAGGGAGGUAGGACCUUAAAGCAUUUGCAUUUAAUUUUGCAAUAUAAAUUAUUAGAAAAUAUAAAAAGUUGAUGUUUGGAAUAGUGAAGUUAAAAAAGGGUUAGGUCUCAAAGUAUUAUACUUGGAAGUAUUAACAUAUAUAAAAAUCCCAAGAUUAUUAGUAAGUGAAUGGAGUCUCCAACACUGUAAUUGAAAGGGACACAGUUCCAGGUGACACUCUCACAUACCAACCUCGGUUCUACUUUUUUUUUUCUCUUUACUCUUUCAAGUUUUCCAUCUAAAUAAAGUAUACUUGAAAAGGAAGUAAGAGAAUGAUGAGUGAGUAUUUGAUAUAUCUUAAAAUAUUUAAUCCAUCAUAUACCCAUACCAUAUAACUUUCUCUCUCUGACUUUUAAUUAUUUAAUUUUCCUUUAAGGCCUACUUCACUUUUUCUCUGUUGCAGCUUUGAGUCUAUAAAUAAAUAAAUAAAUAAAAUUUGUCCUAUUUCUGUUUGAUAAGUAAUAUAUUAAUUUGCCAAUUUAGUGCUGGAUCACUCACUGUCUCCAACUUUAUGGCCGAUUAGAGUGUGAAUACGCUAUGAUUAAACCUUAGAUCCCAAGGCUUCAACAAACCAAAGCUCUCUGAUAUUUUGAAGUCAUAGCAACCACGCUAUUAUACUUGGAAGUAUUAACAUAUAUAAAAAUCACUUCACGAUAAGACAGUUGAGUGGUUUACACAUUUUCUAUUGGAAUGUCUCAUAGAGAUGCCAAUCAGGGUUGGGACAAACACUUCAACUAUUAUGACUAAACAUGGUCACUGCAAUGUCUUGUUUUCAUUUUGUAUUUGUGGAGUUUCAUUGGUCAGUUAUAUGUAGGUACCAGAAGUAAGCUUUUUCUGAGGCUUAUGACAUGCUCGUAUAUUAAAAAGUUGAUGAAGCUAACAAUGCAAUGCCCAUUAAAAACUUAGCCUUUAUUGUGUAUAUUUUGACAUUGCCUGCAUCUGUUGUGGUUUAAUUGUUCAGGUACCAAGGGAAUCAUUGCUUCUUGUUAUUCCUGCUUUUGGUGGUAAAGUUUCAUGGGAGGGAGAGGGGGCUCCUUUUGGGGAAUCAGACCAGAGCAUUACUCACCAGGUUUGUGAUUUAGGUGACAUAACUUUUUUGAACUUUGUUUUAGGUUCACUUAGCUAAUUCUUUCAUUUCUUUAGAUCGUUGAUCGGGAAUCACAAGGACAUAGGUUCCUCUCAAGAGAAUAUGUUCAACCACAGUGGGUAUUUGAUUGUGUGAAUGCACGCAUAAUUUUGCCAACAGAAAGUUAUAUGGUUGGAAGGUAACUUCUAAUUCAUCUGCGCUAUAGUAUACUGACUUCUCACCUCUGUUGUACAGUUUAUAACCCCAUUUGGCGUUGAUUGUGGUGGUUUACAAUUCCUUUAUUUUACAAUGUAGACAUUGUUAAUAUAUUGCUUCUCACCUAAAUUAGUACGUGGGCCUCUGUUCUUUGGUAAUUGAUGUUGUAUUAUCUGUGAUUAUUUUUUAGGUUCAUUUUAUUUGUGAUUAUUUGGUCGGCAUGUGCUAAUUUUGGUCUGAGGAAAAUAAUUUGUUCUACAAGGGAUCAUGAUAUCUUAAUUUUUUGAAAAAUGGAUAAUAUUUUGCUAAUUAAAAAUAUAAUAUUUUAAAUUUCGAAAAAAAUCCACAUGUAUAAUAAUACACAUAUACUGACAGUACAAAGUCCCAUAGGCUGUGGAAUAAAUCUUACCGGUCAUGCAGAUUUUAGUGUCAAUCUCUUUAAAAUAUAUAUACCCAACCUCAUAUAGUAAGUUGUGUCACAUUGGAUGUAUUAUUAUUAUUGUUGAUGUUGUUGUAAAUUAUGAUACAACAUCAAAUCUACACGACUUGUGUAUAAAAUCAAUUAUUUAGGGUUGGUUUACUUUGUGAAAACAUUGUGUUUUCAUUUUCUGAAAUGUGCUCAUUUUACCGUGAUAAGAGACUCUUGAAGUGAACGAAUGUCAUAGAGAAUGUGAAAUGCUAGUUAAUGAAGAUGCAUUUAUGGAAAUAAUGAAAAUAAUUGACAUGUUCAUUUUUUUCUAUAAACGUAGACAAUUGUUAACUUCAGUAAUUGUUAACUUCAGUAAUCUGUUACUGUCUUAUUAACAAGUAAAAUAAAUACAAAUUUUAAGAAAUGAAAAUAGGAAAGGCUUUCCCAAAUUAAACAGGCCCUUAGUUGUCGUUGCCAAUGUCAAGUCAUCAUCAAUCAUUCAUUAACUUGAGAGUCAAGAUCAGAAAAAAUCUUACAUAUAUUUGUUUGUAUUUCCGCGAGAGUACAUUUUUAUUAUAUUCAAAGAAAAGUGUCUAUAUUAAAGAAAAAGCCUAUCAUAUCCGACUUUAACGAAAUUUUUCUUGUUAAAAUGCUUCUUUUAUUAACAGAAUUCCUCCACCGCACUUGUCCCCGUUCGUUAACUAUGACGAAGAAGGGGCAUAUGUUCCGGAGUAUGCAAAGACCAUUAAACACUUGCAAGCUGCUGCCAGAAAGGAAGUCCUUCCACUUCCAGGUGUUGAAAAAGAUCUCGAAGAUCCUCAAAAUCUUCUGGCUGACGGUAUCAUUGAUCGAGCAGAGGCUAACGAAGCGGCUAAGAGAAAGCAGAAGGUAUGCAUACUGAGACACGAACAGUGCAUAUUGAUUGGAGGCUAUCAUUCUAUGUUUUACUUUGUUGAUAAUAAUAUGUAAGUAAUUCCAUUUCAAUUGUUGUCUUGCAGAUGAUGAUUCUAGAGAAGCAAUACCAUGAGGAUUUGAUGAAAGAACUUCAGGGUGCUACAUAUACUUCAGCAGGUUCUACUGCUGAAAAAGAAACAUCUACUGGAUUGAUUCAGACAGCUGAAUCAACGAACAAUGGUCAAGAAAAUGUUGAUGAUUUGACUAAACUUAUGAUGUCUCGUAAAAAGAGGAAGCUAUUAGAAGCCAUGCAGGUACACCUAUUUGUAUCCUCUUUAUACAGAUUUGAAUUUCUUAUCCAUAUUAGUUCUAUUGUUUGUGUACUUCUUUUACUUUUCAAAUUAUCUAUCUGAACUUGCCAUUUGACCAUUACUAUUCUAUUUAAUCCAUAUUCCUAUUUAACCGGUGGGAAAGUGGCAGGUUGUCUUGUAGUUACAAUAAUGUUGCCUUUUUUUAAUUUGUUUUGAUGUUCAUAACUUUUGUUGUUGAAAUGUGUCACUCAGAUAUCGAAUGAGCGCAAGCAAGCUAAAAAUGAUCUUAUCAAACACCGGAAAAAGAAAAUCGACGAAGCUCAGAAUCAAAGGAGUUGAAAGGAAUCUACGUUCUCAAAGGGUUUCAGCUAUAUGCCAUUUCAUUUUGCUAUAUAGGUGCUAGCUGAUUUAUAAGGCUAGUUUUCUUUUGUUGUUUUCCAGUAUAACUUAUUUUAUUUAGUAUCUCUUCUUUCUGUUUUGUAACAUGUUUUGGAAGGGCCAAAGAACAUUUUGAUUUUUUUUAUCUACUAGUUAUACCUUGAUCUACUAGGGUGUGUAAGAAACUGAGUAAAUCCAGUGAACAAUGCUAACUAGUUUGGUUUGGAAUGCAGACGAAAGGCUUUUAUAUCUAAGGAUGUUAAAUGCAGACGAAAGGCUUUUAUAUCUAGCACUUGCGUAAUCAGGUGAUUUUAAAAUUAGAGCAUAAAUGGUACACUACGGAACUAACAAACAGUGCAAAAUUUCAAAAAGUAUGUCCGUGAUUUGGAAUGCUUUAUAUACUUUGUUCAUGUCAGUGCAAAUGAUUGAAUACAUGUGUCAUUUAAAAUUACAAUGGCAACCCCUAAAUACUUCAGUUAAAAAGUAGACAUAAUCAAUAAUACGAGAGGAAAACUUACUAUCAAUUGAGAACAAACACAAGCUUUGAACAUUCCUUAAGAUGUUUUAGAGAUGAAAAUUUACAGACAGAAGGUUCACUGGUUCACAUGAGCAGAGAUGAAUCAACUAAAUGAUAUAAGCUAAUCUCUAACUGAUUUAAAAAGGCCUAUAGUCAAGUAAUUUUCAUCUAUAUUUUCCUAUUUUUGGCACCUCUAACUUUAAUCUGGGAUAUCUAUUAAAAUAUUGAUCAAUAGGUAGUGCUACUAAACAAUAUCAACUUGUUUCAAUUGGAUAUGAUCUUGAUUUCUAAGUCACUCUCCAUUCCGAAAUUUCCCAACAGCUGCAUCCUCAACCAAUUAUGAUGAUUUCAAAUACAUAAAUAAGUAAUCAACUAGUUCACAACAUGAAUUUCAAUGUGUGUACCUCAUUUGUUCAGCUAUCAUAAUUUCAAUCUCUGCCAAUUGAGGAUUAUCCGUGUCAUUCAUGAAAAUAUUAACAUCACCAACCAUAGCUGCAAAUAGCAUAUAUAUAUAUAUAUAUAUAUAUAUAAGUCUCCAAUGUUAAUAAAUUGAACAAUAAUGAAUUAAAGGUCACCAUGAAUUAAAAGUCUCUAGAGUUGAUAAAUUAUGUGAUCAUGCAAUGGCCAUCCGCUCAUUUUCUAUGAACUUUCAUAUAAGUGAUUAUAUUGUUGAGAAUCAUUGAAACGAGUCUAUGAUCAACCAGGUCCUUCUUAAUAACAUUUGUAUCAUAAUUGCAAGUCUUAAGCCUCCUUUUGCAGGAUGAUUUCCCUAUAUGGAAGUUUUUUAAUGAAAAUUUAUUCACUAUUAAUUUUUGUCAAGAGAGCAUCAUACUCCUUUUGAGUCCCCUAAUUUUAAUCUGGUGUGGAAAUGAAUUGGACCUCCCAGAUUUCAUACAUUUCUUUUAAAAGUUUUCACACAAACAACUUCUAACUAAUGCCAAAAGAAACCAUUGGGGUAUAUCUGAUAAUAUGGUUUGCAUCAGAUGCUCCCAAGUUUCGGAAACUAUUAUGCACGUUCUUAGAGAUUUUAAUGUGGCACAUAGUCUUUGGAAAAACUUUAUUACUAUGGAGAGUGAGCAAUCAAGUUCCUUUUUUAGACUCACGCUUCCUCAAUGAAUUGGCUUUAAUCUUACGGUAGUUGAUGUUAGUUUGAUCAGAGGCCAUUGGCCUCUGGUGUUUGGAAUCAUGGUAAAUUGUGGAUGGAUAGGAACCAAGUAGUUUUAUCAAGAACACCACUUAAUGCUAAAAAAAUUUGUAAUCUUUUUAUAGAAAACCUUUCUCCAUUCAUCAACAUCUUUACCUUUGUCCUCCUUCCUUUUUUAGAGGAUCGUAAGAGAGAGAUUAAUGUUAAAUGGUAUCCUCCAAAAUUCUUUUAAGCUCAACAUUGAUGGUUCUUAUCACAACACAACAGGUCUCAUUGCUUGUGGAUGGAUUAUUAGAGAUCAUAAAUGAGUUUAUAUUCACGGUUUUUUUUGCAAUCUCGGUUGAGCUACAUUUGUGUUAGCUAAACUGUGGGGCUUGUUUCAUGGUCUUAUAAUGACAUGUAGUUCGGUUUUGACUACAAUUUUGGUGAAAUGAACUCUCAUAUGGUAGUCAACAUGAUUUGGUCGAGGGAAAUGGGUAAUCUCUAUCUUACGCCGCUUCGUCAAGAAGUAAUCUCUAUUGUACACGAGGAACGGAAUUGGGUGGUUAAUCAUGUCUAUCUUGAGACUAAUCAAUGUGCAGAUAAGCUAGCUAACCUUAAUCUCAUUUGAGAUUUUAAUUUUAUUGACCCAUGUACUCCUUUUCCUAGUGUAUUACUUCUUAUUGAUGAUGAUUAUAGAGGGAUGUAUUUAUCUCGUUUCUUUCUCGUAAGUUUUCUUUGUAAUUUUCCCUUUUAUCAUGGAGAAAAAGGAAUGUUACUCAACUAAUAAGAUCUUAUCAAAACACAACAGGUCUCAUUGCUUCAUGAUGGCUUAUUAGAGAUCAUAAAGGAGUUUAUAUUUGUGAUUUCUUUUGCAAUCUUGGUCGAGCUACAUAUGUGUUAGCUGAACUUUGGGGCCUGUUUCAUGGUCUUAUAAUGACAUGUAGUUUGAUUUUGACUACUAUUUUGGUGGAAAUGAACUCUCAUAUUGUAGUCACCAUGAUUCAGUCAAGGAAAAUGAAUAAUAUAUAUUUUAUGCCGCUUCAUCAAGAAGUCAUCUCCAUUGUAAACCAGGAAUGGAUUUGUGUGGUUAAUCAUGUCUAUCUUGAGACUAAUCGAUGUUAAUAAGCUAGCUAAUCUUAAUCUCAGUUGAGAUUUUAAUAUUAUUAACCCACUUACUCCUCUUUAUAGUGUGUUACUUCUUAUUGAUGAUGAUUAUAGAUGUAUGUAUUUCUCUCGUUUCUUUCUCGUAAGUUUUCUUUGUAAUUUUCCCUUUUAUCAUGGGAAAAAAAAAAAGGAAUGCUACUCAAAGAAUAAGAUAUGGAGUUUCAAAUUCGAUUCAAACCCCAAAAUCAAUGUCCUAAAAGUAUAUCCUUGAUAAUUCCGCUUCAGACCCUUUUAUUAACAAAAUCAAUGUCCCUUUUAACAAUUUUGGAGCUUUUAUAGUACAUUCAUUAAUCGAAGAGUUUUGGUACAUUUUUUCUCUAAAUCAAUAAAUUAAGGAUAAUUUUAAUGAAUCAAAUAGUUAUUUAUUGACUUUUGUAUUUUAUAAAAGAUCAUUUCAUAUGAAAAAAAAAACGAUUUUGUUGUUUAUAAGUACUAUACUAGUUUUUUCUAUUUUAUUGUAAAAAUAUUCAAUAUUCACAAUUAUGAUUUAUUUGACUUACACUUUUGAUAAAUAAUAUUUAGUUAUUAUAAUUAUAUAAAUAAUAGGAAUUAUUUUUUUCCUAAAAAAUUCAAUUAACUAUUAAUUUAAAUAUCAAAUGUAUUGAUACAUGUCAAAUUAAUUGAUUUACUGAAGAAAUGCUCUUUCAAAAUAGUUCCGUCGCUAAAUUAAUCCACUUACAAUAAAAAUAUAGAUGAGUACAAGAGAAGAUUUCAAUAAUUAAUCCUAAGCUAAAUUAGACUUUUAGUCCCUCAACUUAGAUUUUGGUUUCAAUUUAAUCUCCUAAUCAUUUUCAUUUUGUUUUAGUCUCUUACAUAUACUUUUGUUAGUCAAGUUGGUCAUAUCUGUUAAUUUUUGAAAUCUUCUCUUGUGCCCAUCUAUAUUUUUGUUCUUCUUCAACCUAAAAGUAGUGGUUUUGUUCCUCUUUUCAACUGUACUCUGCAUAACUUGUGACUAAUUUUGUUCACAGCGAGAACACUAAUAAAUACAUAUGAAGAACAAAAUGGAUGAAUUGAAGUGACAUCAUUCAAAAAAAAAGUCAAGUUAAAUUCUCCAAAAAGAUCUAGAAAAUGUCUAUUUAUUAGCAUGACAUUAUCAUCAUUUUGCAAUUUGAUGGUACACACAAACCAUUUAAACAUACGGAUUGUGUGGCAUCAAAGUAGUAUCAAAAGAUUACAAUGAUAGUAAGUAAUAGUAUCACAAGAUUCGUUAGAAGAAUACCAUCUUCCACUACAUUUGAUUUGUUAAAUUGUCCAAUUACCAAAGAUCUUUAACCAUUUUCAAAUGUUGAAAUAAGGGUUCCUACAACAAGGAGAUGAAAACUUAAAACUCAAACAUGGAUACAACCGAGACAUAUAUCGCAAAUCCUAAUAAAUAAAACACGAAUAUUUGCUAUAAUAUCACUUGUUGGAGAUUCCAAUGGUGAUAGUUACUCCGCAUACCAAAAACCUUAAGGCAUAUCUCCACCCACCUAAAUCCCAAUAAAGUUGAUGUUGCAAUCACUUCCAACUUCAAAGACAUUCUUGAUGUGGAAGAUUUUACCACAUCCUUGGUCAUGUGAGAAGAUUGAAAGCAAAUAAAUAAAGUGUGCAUCAGAUGCUUUUUAUGUUGUACGAACCAUGUGCUAACACAUGCAUACUCAAUUUUAAAAUAUAUCUACAGUUUUACGAUCACUUGAUUUUCUAGGCAAUUCAACUUCAAAAUUUAUGCUAAAUGAUAUGGUUUAAAGGUGUGCUAUAACAAAUUCAAUAACAAAACUUGUAGAAACAAUGAUAUAACCAUCCAUCAUCCAUCAGUUACAUGACUAAAGUAAAUUUAACUAUUGAAUAAAGACCUCUUAUACUUUUUCUUUGUUUAGCUAUUAGUUUGUUCUCUCAUCCAUCAUCCAACACUAUUUUUGCAACACCUCAUAAGUGGUCCCUGAAAUCUAAAUGGGAACAACAAAAAUGUUGUACUGCAUAUAAAAAACCAAAACAAAUGCUAAAAGGUGUGGAAUAAUUUGAUAAAAUGUCCUAUUAAACAAGUAUUUAUUUCACAAAAGUUUUUGGAUAGAAUAAUUUGUCCAAAGAACAAAGGUGUGGAAUCAGAAACAUGACGUGUGAAAGGAGUAAAGAACAUUGAAACUAUAUCAAUAGAAUACCAUAUAUUGAAUAUGAGGUAUAGAUGUUUAUUUAUUAGCAACAGUAGUACAGAAGCUAACUUGCAAAAGUUAUGAUGUACAAUGAGUUUUUGUUUAAGCCAUAUGUGUUUUAACUUGAAGAAAAUGUUUCCUAAUAAAGGACUUUGUAGCUCCUUUAACACAUGCUAAAAUGUCCUAUUAAACAAGUAUUUAUUUCACAAAAGUUUUUUGAUAGAAUAAUUUGUCCAAAGAAGAAAAGGUGUGGAAUCAGAAACAUGACGUGUGAAAGGAGUAAAGAACAUUGAAACUAUAUCAAUAGAAUACCAUAUAUUGAAUAUGAGUUAUAUAUGUUUAUUUAUUAGCAACAGUAGUGCAUAAGCUAAGUUGCACAAGUUAUGAUGUACAAUGAGUUUUUGUUUAAGCCAUAUGUGUUUUAAUUUGAAGGAAAUGCUUCCUAAUAAAGGACACUCCAACUCCUUUAACAUAAGCUAAAAUGUCCUAUUAAACAAGUAUUUAUUUCACAAAAGUUUUUUGCUAGAAUAAUUUGUCCAAAGAACAAAAGGUGUGGAAUCAGAAACUGAAAGGAGUAAAGAACAUUGAAACCAUAUCAAUAGAAUACUAUAUAUUGAUACGAGGAAUAUAUGUUUAUUUAUUAGCAAGAGUCGCAUAGAACCUAUCUUGCACACAUUAUAAAAAGUAAUUACAGCUUGAAAAACAUGAAAUCAAAUAAUGUUGAGCAACAACAGAAUGAAGCAACUGAAGAAGGUAACAUAGAUCUCCUCUACAAAAUAAUUAAAGAUGAUCAAUCAAUUUUGGAGAGUAUCGAUUCGAAACAAUUUGUGGAAACUCCUUUACAUAUCGCUGCAGCUAUGGGUCGUAUCCAGUUCGCCAAUGAAAUUAUGAGGUUGAAACCUUCAUUUGCUCGUAAGCUAAAUGAACAAGGAUUCAGCCCUAUCCACCUUGCUAUGCUAAACAGCCGAAAGUGGAUGGUGUUUAAUUUUGUUGACAUGAAGAAGCAACUUGUUACAGAUCAAGGAAGAGAAGGCUUAACUCCUCUUCAUUUAGCAAGUGAAAUUGGUGAUAUUGAAUUUUUAGCUAAGUUUAUUUAUGCUUGUCCAGAAUCAAUUGAAUGCUUGACUGCGAGGAAUGAGACUGCACUACAUAUUGCUAUUAAGAAUCAACAGUUUGAGGCUCUUCAAUUUCUUGUUGGCUGGCUCGUAAGAAAUGAGGAGAGAGGUGUUACAGAGUUGGAAAAUAAAAUACUUAACCAAAAGGAUGUGGAUGGAAACACUAUUUUGCACAUUUCAGCUCAAAGUAGUGAUCCACGGGUAACUUUCGUUUGUAUAUUUAUUUUGUUCUCCCCUCAAAUUAAAAACUAUAUGUAAAUGAUUCUCAUAUUUCUUAUUAUUUUACUUUGUAGCACAGACAGUUCGAUUGUUGGUAAAAGACUGGGAUAAAUUUGAAGGCAAAGAACUUAGACAACAAAACAACAUUAGACAUGGCAACCAAUGAAGGUGCAAAAAGUGGCUCACAAGUCAUUGACAUACGUUCACAAGAACUAAUAAUACCAAUGACGACACUAUAUGAUAAAAUGUUAAUUUUAUUACGUCGCCUUAGUAACGAUAUAUCAAAUAAUCAACGCGAAACUUUGCUGAUAGUUGUGACACUUGUUGCGACUGCCACUUAUGAAUCAGCAAUGAGUCCCCCUGGUGGAAUUUAUCAGGCUGAUGCUGGUGACAAUAAUGUGAAAAUCAGUUCCUCCAAUUCUACUAUUUCUAACCCAGGAAAUGUUGGGAAAUCGAUUUUGUCAAGACAUGAUUUCUUAGUGUUUUCAUUGAUGAAUAUGUUUUCUUUUUACGAAUCAAUUACAGUAAUAUUGUUUUUGAUGCCAGGUGGGAUAGUUGGCGCUCUACUGUUAGAUACAGUUAUUUUCUUUGUCGUGAGUUAUAUAAUUUUUCUGGUGAAAAUAUCCCCUACACAUUUCAAUGAGAUGAUCAUCCUGUAUGGUUUCAUCAUCAUCAUGUCUGCCGUAUUAUUUAUGUUCUACCAGAAACUUAAGAAAACACCAAUCAAGGGGGCAACACAGAUCAUACCACUGUCGUGCCGGCUGAAUUCACCAACAACAAUAUCUCCGUACAAUAAUUUCUAUUUUUCGUUCUUAACCUUUUUCUUGUUCAAUCUUACCAAAUUGUUAAUUACUAUAUCAUAUAUUGUAUUCUAUUCCAUCUAUGUGUAUUUAUUAUUAUUAUUAUUUAAAAUGAGAUUACUCAACAUGAUAUAUGUGUGAAUAGUCUUUUGAAUAACUUCUUUUUUUUUUAAGUGUAAUGGGAAAAGCCCCUAGCCUUUAGGGCCUAUUUGAAUGAAUUUAUGUUUUUAAUUUUUCAACAAUCUUUUACAAUUUAAUUUUAAAAACUCUUUAUAAGGAAAAAAAAAAAAACAAUCAAUGUUGUUUGGUAAUUCUAUUUUCAAACACCAUCUCCACCACCACGACCUACCGCUCCGGAAUUUUCUUCAUAAAAAAAAACUUUGUUCACCAUCGUGUCGUGUUCGUUGCUCUCUUAUAAUAAUCCUCCAUCAAAACGGAGAUCAAUGAGAAUCAUGGUUGGAGUUGGUAGCUCCAAGCAAUCCCAUAUUGUGGACACAACCAUUGAUACCAUCUCUGAUGACGAUUCUGGUUCAAAAUCACCACAAAAAUCCUUGAAACCAACCACUUCACCAUCAAAAUCAAUAUAAUGUCUUUUUCCGCCUUAAAAAAUACCACCUAAAAAGAGAAAAUGAGAUUUAACUAAAAAGCUUCGCUAUAAGAUUUUUUAUUAAAAUUGAGACACAUUAUCUUAUCUCAACCUUUAUUUGAAUAUUUUUUAUUUAUGAUAUUUAAUUAUUUACCAUAACUCAUUCAGCUAUCGUCCAAUGUUUUGUCUAUCAUGUCAUAAUUUUGAAAACAUGUAAUGUCAAUGAUUCUAAGAAGUACUCCCUCGAGUGACUAUUUUAGUUUUAAGUAAAAAAAAUUCUCUUGUUGUAUUAAAAAUAUAGUUAAAUGGCAAUUAAUUUUAUAUAUUUUACAUAAAAUAUAAGUUAAAUUUAUUAAAUUGUCAUUUUUAAUGUACAAUAUUCGACUAUUAAUAUUAAAUAUUUUGAUGUAAAUGGUGGAUUAAAAAUAGACAUGGCAACAGGCGGGACGGGGGCGAAAUAUAAAGUAUAUUUAAUAUGUCCAUGUGUAUAAAAUUUAAAAAUGAGAAUAAUAUUAUUAGCGGGACAUAUUCGAGUCCGAAUUCGGGGUGAAUGUCAACACACUCGCACUCGAUUAAAGCGAUUUUUCUCCGUCCAAAUUAAAACGAUUUCAAAUGGAUAUACGCGGAGGCGGAUUAUGUUGUCAUCUCUAAUUAAAAUAAUAAUAUUAAAUUAAUCAAAACUAUCUUAUAUUUAGGAUGCAAUGUUUUAAAUUUUUACAGAAUUAAAACAUAGAUAUAAAAACAUAUGUUAAAUUUCUUAGGUAAGUUUUGUCAUGUUAAUUGGUAGAGAUUAAUUGGAGAAAAUGUAUAUAUUUAACUAAAGCAAAUCUCGUUAGUGUAAAAUAGAAAAACAAAUACAAAUUAUUUUGUAAAUGUUUAAUGAAACCUAAUAUAUUUCCUAUUUUAAAUUGGACCACCAUCUCUAACCUUAAAUUUUAUAAAUAAAUAAAUAAAACAAAAUAAUUAAUUAAAGAAGGAUUUAUGUAAUGUAUAUUUGAAUAAUGAAGUUAUUUAAAAAAUGAAGGUGACCCACUAGGUUUUGGAUUUGGGCUUUGGGCCAAAAUAUUAGCGUCCAUUCCACGCAGAAUCUUAACUCCUAAUAACCCUAGUUUCUAGUUUACUUAUCUUGUUUUGAUUUUGAAAGAAUAAAAACCUACCAAUCACUCUCUAACCUCUCUCAUCUUUGCUCUUCGCCGUCACCGCAACCACCGUUCCCUCAAAUCAAAAUACCAUGUCGGACGAAGAGCACCAUUUCGAAUCCAAGGCCGACGCCGGAGCCUCCAAAACCUACCCUCAACAAGCCGGUACCAUCCGUAAAAACGGUUACAUCGUCAUCAAAAACCGUCCUUGCAAGGUCCGUAUCCACAUUCUAAUUCCUUUUUUAAUUAGGUUUUUACUAAAUUAAUCAUUGAUUUGAUUUCAUGUAUUUGAUUAGAUCCAGUUUUUCUGCUUCACUGUUUUGG
rnacentral:lncRNA from 1 species